rnacentral:lncRNA from 1 species
CGCACUGGUGUCGACUGUCACCCCCACAGCGAUGAUCUGGUGUCGAUCGACGCUGGCUCCACGUAGCUACUGGUGUCGACCAACAUCCACCUAGUGUCGAUCGUCAUUGGCUCCGCAAAUGCCCCAUAAUCACCUCUUCUCCCAAUGCAUCCAAACACAAAUCCUAACAUCAAUCAUGCAAUACACAACACCAAUCUCAGAGAAACAAACACACAAUCAAAACCCGAAUCCAUUUACACAAUCUAAACACACAUCAUAAAGGUUCACAAGUUUAGAUUAGCAAUAGACACGCUCUCGCCUUUGAUUUGGUUUGAUUGGGAGACAUAAAUAGGAAGAACACAAAAAGAGUAGAGCCUUCUCACACAAAUCUCCUCAACUCUUUGCCCAAACACACAACAACUACCCUCAAACACCUCUAGAACGCCUCCAUAAACUUUUUCUGAAGCCUCAACUUUCAUCUCCUUAAAAUCACACAAGCUAAACAUUUUGUCCUUUUCUCUUUAGAAAUAACAAAACUCUCAAAAAAAAAAAAAAAAAAAAAAGAAAAAAAGAAGAGAGGUUGCUUGAACUUUUAUCAUAGACUCAAGGGUUUUGUUUUAACCCAAUUCACUUAAACUAACAAUUAAGCCCAAACCACCAAACUACCAAAAUUGAUGGUGUCGAUGGACAACAAGGACGGUACAUAUCAUCACAUAAUCAAACAACAACAUCACCGUUAUACAUAUCAUCAAUCAAUCAUAUUAUCACAUAAACUUAUCCUACACAAUCGAAUCUUUACCUACAUGCUUCAAGUGAAGAAACAUAACCAAAAAAAAAAAAAAAGCAUGUUCUGAAGAAGCCACUUUGGUUCCGUUUUCAUAUGUUUUAUUAAUUUGGCCAGUUUCACCUGUUUCUUGCGCAAAAAGCAACGUGAAUAACUCCUCGAUCUCAACUCCGAUUCAGACACUGUCAGUUUCUGUAUCUUCUAAGACAAAAGAUCUAUUCUAGAUCCACCAUGUUUUCUGAUCUUACCUCUGAUCUGGCAAGAAACUCUUCUUCUUUUCUCUUCUUGCUUCUUCGCUUCUGAUUUGCUUCGCCUCUCUCAAUUCUUCAUAUUCAUGGUUGUGAUCAUCUCUUCUCCUCGGCAACGUCCUCGGCCUCCAUCCCCACUUACUUCUUCUAUUUCUCCGACCUGGUCUUGGCUAGCUCCUUGUCUCCAGUGGUUUGUUAACUGCGAUCAAAAACCUUCUCUAUCCUUUGGUGUCUUGGGUGCUGUUUUUAGGGUUUAGUUUUGGGUUUCUCUUUGACAGCUAAGGAAG